ensembl:lncRNA
GUUGGAGUGGUCAGAAGCACUUGGUAUGGACAUCAAGUUGUUAUUAAGUUCUGUUUUUCCUGAGAAUUUCAUUUUUUUUUGCACUUUAAGUUGCUAUUAAGUUUCUCAAGCUCUUUGUUUUCCCUGAGCAUUUCAUUGUUUUUGCACUUUAAAUUGUUAUUAAUUUCCUCGAGCUCUGUGUUUUCCUUGAGCAUUUUCUUCUUUUUGUAUUUUAAGUUGUUAUUAAUUUCCUCGAGCUCUGUGUUUUCCUUGAGCAUUUUCUUGUUUUUGUAUUUUAAGUUGUUAUUAAUUUCCUCGAGCUCUGUGUUUUCUUUGAGCAUUUUCUUCUUUUUGUAUUUUAAGUUGUUAUUAAUUUCCUCGAGCUCUGUGUUUUCCCUGAGCAUUUUCUUGUUUUUGUAUUUUAAGUUGUUAUUAAUUUCCUCGAGCUCUGUGUUUUCCUUGAGCAUUUUCUUGUUUUUGUAUUUUAAGUUGUUAUGAAGUUCCUCAAGCUCUGUGCUCUUUUUUAGGAUUUCACUGUAUUUGUAGUUUAAGUUCUUAUUCUGUCCCUCGAGCUCUGUGUUCUUUCUCAGGAUUUCAUCAAUUUUGUAUUUUAAGAUGUUACAAAGUUCCACAAGCUCUGAGUUCUUGCUUAGCAUUUCA